CCUACGGGAGGCAGCAGUAGGGAAUCUUCCACAAUGGGCGAAAGCCUGAUGGAGCAACGCCGCGUGGGUGAAGAAGGUCUUCGGAUCGUAAAACCCUGUUGUUAGAGAAGAAAGUGCGUGAGAGUAACUGUUCACGUUUCGACGGUAUCUAACCAGAAAGCCACGGUUAACUACGUGCCAGCAGCCGCGGUAAUACGUAGGUGGCAAGCGUUAUCCGGAUUUAUUGGGCGUAAAGGGAACGCAGGCGGUCUUUUAAGUCUGAUGUGAAAGCCUUCGGCUUAACCGGAGUAGUGCAUUGGAAACUGGGAGACGUGAGUGCAGAAGAGGAGAGUGGAAAUCCAUGUGUAGCGGUGAAAUGCGUAGAUAUAUGGAAGAACACCAGUGGAGAAAGCGGCUCUCUGGUCUGUAACUGACGCUGAGGUUCGAAAGCGUGGGUAGCAAACAGGAUUAGAUACCCCGGUAGUC
rnacentral:rRNA from 1 species